CUCAGACUGUGAUACAGUAGUGCGGACAGAAAGGUUUAUGAGACUUUAGUGCCUUCAAGUUAAAAUUUUAAAAAGCAACUGCCGAAACCCGGGAUCGAACCAGGGACCUUUAGAUCUUCAGUCUAACGCUCUCCCAACUGAGCUAUUUCGGCUCUCUCUCUGCUUCUUUUUGACUAAGCCAUUACUGAACAUUUCACGUCUAACUGACCCGCCUGCCUUUCAAUGCACUUAGUUUCAUAUUUUUCCUUUCCUCCACUAAAAGUAAUGCUCCUUGCGCUUGGCUUUUCCCAGCCCUGGUUAGGUACACCGCGCACGUCCCUUACUUUCCUCAACACAACUCCAGCGCCCACAGCGCCAGAGCCCAGGCCCCGGGCCCUUGAGACGCGGGUUCUGCCCUCCUGCGCUGGGUCGCGCCACCCGGAGUCCCAGCACCCCGAGAACGAGCAGUUGGAGAAAUCAAGGGACGAAGGAGUGGACAGGGUCGGGGAGGCAAGAACUGUCCGGCUGGCGGUGAGAGUAGGAGCACUUGAGACCUGGAAACGCCCACCUUAAUUACCAGUGCUUUGCGUGGAGCCCGCUUGCCAAAUGCUCGGGCAGCUCACGAAGCACGAUAUUAGAUGUCAAUGUCGUUUCCUACACGAGUCACCUACUACGUGCGAAUACAGACAUCCUGCAACUCCCAACAUCCUAUCUUUUCAUUAUUUUUCCCUCCUAUUAAAUUGUACUUAUUUCAAGUAUUUCUCAAAAAGGAUUACAAAGAUGAUGGUGUAUGUGAAAAGGACACGGAGACAGUCUGAGGGGUUUCCUAACCAACCCACACCAGGACAAUCUGAGAAUCACAAUAAAUGGGGAAAGUAAUGGAGUGAGUAGAAUAAAAUUCUGAUUCACGGUGCAAAAUUGGGUCUGAAGAUUACUUAAAACAGAAGAUACUUAAAACUUUCAAGAUACAGCAGAAGCCAAAAGAAGCCCUUUCUGAGUUCUCUUGUCUGACUAAAGCCACAGCCUUCCGAGAAGGAAGCUGCCGUAAGUCCCCUCUUUGAGGUGGCAUCGAGCAAGGAAGAGUCUAUUUGCACGUGGAUAAGAAAUGUUAUAAACAUCAUCACAGUCAUGCCUUCCUUUAUCUAAAAGCCACUUGUCUCACCUCCUUUUCUCCUAUUAAGUCGAUGUAGAAGCCCUUAUCCUUUGCUGGUCAGCCAGUGAAUGAGACCAUAUGCAUGUGAAUUAGCUUUUUUCAUUAAUUUGUCUGUUGCUAACUAAUGUGCAACCCCACCACCACCAUCACUGGACCCUACACCGGUGUGGGAAAGGUUUCCUCUCAACACUUUCUACUAUUUCCAUCUACUUCUCUUAGUCCUAGAUUUUUGUGUCCUUCCGCCCCAACUCCAUCUCCUCUCAUUGGCCAACUCUUGACCCCCCC
rnacentral:tRNA from 1 species